AUUUCUUCUUCUAACCAAUAGAAACGUGACAUGUAGCUGUAUCUUACCCUCUUUUCUAUAUCUUCUCCAAGAUACGAUAUCUUGGUAAUUAAUUAUGUUUUUGCUUUAAAUUUUUUUGAUUAAUUAGCUAAGAUAUAACUUAAAUCUCUGCAAUGAGGUUGCUCUUAUAAUCUCGAACACUUUCACAAACGUAUGAACUGAAUCAUUAAAAAAAAAAAAAAAUUGUGUAGACUAAUUACGUCAUGCUGGUGUCAGUUUCGCACCUGAUAUAUUUUGAUUUUGGACCGUAACUACAAGUAGAAAAAGUCGCCUAGGGAUUUAGCAAAUCACUUUUUCAUUCCAC
rnacentral:lncRNA from 1 species